GUUGUAUAGUCAAGUAAUUAAGUGCAUGUGGUGGAUGCUUGGCAGUCAGAGGCGAUGAAAGACGUGAUAGCCUGCGAAAAGCUCCGGGGAGGCGGCAAAUAUC
rnacentral:rRNA from 1 species